UACGUAGGAGACGAGCGUUGUCCGGAGUUACUGGGCGUAAAGGGUGCGCAGGCGGCCUUGCGCGUCGCGAGUGAAAUCUCCCGGCUCAACUGGGAGGGUGGUCGGCGAGACGGCAGGGCUUGAGGCUCGGUGAGGGGCGUGGAAUCCGGGUGGAGCGGUGAAUGCGUAGAGAUCCGGAGGAACACCGACGGCGUAGGCAGCGCCCUAGACGAGACCUGACGCUCAGGCACGAAAGCGCGGGGAGCGAACGG
rnacentral:rRNA from 1 species